rnacentral:rRNA from 1 species
GAUGAACGCUGGCGGCGUGCCUAAUACAUGCAAGUCGAGCGAACAGAUGAGGAGCUUGCUCCUCUGACGUUAGCGGCGGACGGGUGAGUAACACGUGGAUAACCUACCUAUAAGACUGGGAUAACUUCGGGAAACCGGAGCUAAUACCGGAUAAUAUAUUGAACCGCAUGGUUCAAUAGUGAAAGACGGUUUUGCUGUCACUUAUAGAUGGAUCCGCGCCGCAUUAGCUAGUUGGUAAGGUAACGGCUUACCAAGGCAACGAUGCGUAGCCGACCUGAGAGGGUGAUCGGCCACACUGGAACUGAGACACGGUCCAGACUCCUACGGGAGGCAGCAGUAGGGAAUCUUCCGCAAUGGGCGAAAGCCUGACGGAGCAACGCCGCGGGAGUGAUGAAGGUCUGCGGAUCGUAAAACUCUGUUAUUAGGGAAGAACAAAUGUGUAAGUAACUAUGCACGUCUGGACGGUACCUAAUCAGAAAGCCACGGCGAACUACGU